rnacentral:rRNA from 1 species
AAUGGUCUUGUUAUUGGAAUGAGAACAAUUUAAAUAACUUAACGAGGAUCAAUUAGAGGGCAAGUCUGGUGCCAGCAGCCGCGGUAAUUCCAGCUCUAAUAGCGUAUAUUAAAGUUGUUGCAGUUAAAAAGCUCGUAGUCGGAUGUCGGGCUCGGGCAGGCUGUCGGCUUCGGUCGGACGGCAGGCUCGGGUCCUUCUGCCUGAGGAACCCGUCGCACUUAAUUGGGCGGCGUGGGGACGCAGGCCGUUUACUUUGAAAAAAUUAGAGUGUUCAAAGCAGGCCUACGCUUGAAUACAUUAGCAUGGAAUAAUGGAACAGGACUUUGGUGCUAUUUUGUUGGUUUAUGGGACCGAAGUAAUGAUUAACAGGGACAGUUGGGGCCGUUUAUAUUUCGUUGUCAGAGGUGAAAUUCUUGGAUUUACGAAAGAUAAACUUCUGCGAAAGCAUUCGGCAAGGAUGUUUUCACUGAUCAAGAACGGAAGUUAGGGGAUCGAAGACGAUCAGAUACCGUCGUAGUCUUAACCAUAAACUAUGCCGACUAGGGAUCAGUGGAUGUCAAUUUGCGACUCCAUUGGCACCUUGUGAGAAAUCAAAGUUUUUGGGUUCCGG